CUCCGGCCUUUUUGUAGUCUCAGAGUCUAAGAGUACAAAGUUUAUAAUACUUUGCUUCUAUUUCUAAUAUUUUGUCUUUAUCUCUUGUAACUUGACCCUUAUCAUUAUAUCAUUUUUGUCUACUUUCACUGUCUAGAUUUUUCCAUCACUAGAAAAUUUGCUGAAUUGUUUUCUUCCUCUUCAACCCAUUUUACCCGUACCCUUAUUCGAUUAUCUUUUAUUUUCUCAUUAUAAAGUUUUCCUCUUUCCUUAUAUAAAUAUUCUACUACCUGUUCUAAAUUAUGUUUGUUUUUAUUAUUGCACGAUGAUGAGUCUAUGAUACUAUUCUGUUAACAUUUUUUCAAACUUGUUGAUUUGUUCUUCUUUAUACUUGGCUUUUCAUUUACAUUAGCUGAUUGUCGGUCUCUAACUCUUAUUGCGAAAUUGACCAACCUAAUGUCAUGUUCAGUUUGAUUCUUUGCUUUGUUUUUAUCAUUUUUAACUAUUUUCUUAAUUAUUUCAACAUAUUCUAUAUUUUGAAGUACACUACUGUUAAGUUUCCAGUAUAACCUACCUUUUUGAC
rnacentral:lncRNA from 1 species